UCGAUCUCAAGCAUUCCCGCA
rnacentral:siRNA from 1 species